rnacentral:sRNA from 1 species
GCUGGGUGUGGUGGUGCACACCUGUGACCCCAGCUACUUGGGAGGCUGAGGCAGGAGGAGUGCAAGUUCGAGGCCAGCCUCCACAACCUAGUAAGACCCUGUCUCAA